AAUUAAACUCACACUUCUCAUUUAUUCAUAAAUAACAAACCUCUUUAAUUUAUUUUACUUCAAAUCCAAUUUCUCAAUUUUAUUAUUUCUCCCUUCUGUAGCAAGCUGAUGCAAAUCUAUAAGAGCUUUUGCAAUAACUUCCUGAGACAUAGAUGCAUUUCAUACGGCGAGGAUGUUGACACAAAGUGAUAGAAAGGAUGUUUGCUAGACUCGAAGGGUUAGCCAAGUUGAUAAGGGUAAAGUAAUUGAUACUGACGCUAAAACGUCUGACCGUGAAGUACGUACAAACGGAACAUCCGGCGGAAUUAUAGGAUUAUAUUAAUACGCUCGUUUUACCGGGCCAUGGCUGUUAUUUGCAGUUACCUUCUUCGAUUACCCUGCGUGUAAAUUCAUUCAUUAGGGAUUUGUGGAUCUUUGAAGACUAUUAGAGGGUGGCCAAUCUAAAUUGGCUAAACUAUAAAAUGAAUUUUAAUUAAAUUAUUGAUACAAUUAGUAAUCCAAGAAUUCAGAAGGGUGUCACUAAGUCUAACAAGUGUAAAUGACGGCUGAAUACGACCGUGUGCACGCGAACAAAAGAGUGAAUUUUUAAGGGUGAACAAAGCAUUUAAAGAAACUCCAACUCUAAAUAUUAACUAAAAAAAUACUUUCAAAAAAAUACGUGAUAUCAAAGUCUCCCAUCAUGAGAAUUUAUACAUCCAGAAUGGAAGAAAAAUUACCUGAUAUUCGCGAAUCCUAUUCGAUAGUGCUGUACAUUGAUCAUAUGCCACCUGACGCGUUCGCCAGUAUAAAAUUGCGUGUGAGAUAAACGUCUCAUUCUUCCACGAUUCACGAUACUUGAAACGUUUAAAAUAUUCCAACUUUAUUCCAUACAAUGGGAUAGUGGAAAACACUGUACAAGUAAAUGAUUCCAUGAUCGCCGCUACGCGGCGAAUUAUCGUUCACAUCCUUUCCCCGAGACGUAAAUCCCAAUAUCGA